GACAGAGGUGCCGAGCGUUAGGCGGAAUCACUGGGCUUAAAGCGUGUGUAGGCGGGCGGGCAAGUACCUUGUGAAAUCCCCCGGCUCAACCGGGGAAUGGCUGGAUAUACUGGCGGUCUUGAGCGAUCUAGGGGCAGAUGGAACAAGUGGUGGAGCGGUGAAAUGCGUAGAUAUCACUUGGAACGCCAAAGGUGAAAACAGUCUGCUGGGGAUCUGCUGACGCUGAGACACGAAAGCCAGGGGAGCGAACGGG
rnacentral:rRNA from 1 species